AUGGCUGCCUGACCUGACUUAAAAAUCAUAUCAGACUAGAAGAUUAUAAGUAUUGAGUUGGACAAAAUGAAACCUGAGCCUACCAAAGUUGACAUAUAUUGUUAUAUAUGUUGAUUGGAAGAUUCAAAUUCUGGAAAGUAGAAAAGGGCGUGUUACAUACUGUUACCACAGCCAUGACAGAAACCAUAUUGAGGAGCUGGUCCGCCUGUAGGAAGAAUUGCUCUGUUGAUUUGAACAGCAGUUCACUAUUCCCUUGCCAUACAUCAGCACUUGGUUUGUCAUAAAGAGCAUUUCUGAGCAGUUAUGGUGACCACUAACUAUGCAGGUGUUGCAGUGAAAUUUGCACCAGUGUGUUUUCUUUGGAGAUUAAGAGAUAGUGUCCAGCAAUGAAGACCCAACUCAAGAUCUGACCUUGUAAGGCCAAUAUGAAAUAACUGUGUGGAAAAAUGGGAAAUACCUGCAGUUAGGAAUGCACGUAAAUCAUCAAAAGAACAGUGUGGAAUUAAUCUUGAAUAACUUGACAUUUAUUUUGUUUGACAUAUUUAUUCAUGGUUAUUUUAAUUUAGAAUUAAUAGGAGGGAACAUCACUAUGUAGUUUCAUGUUCAUCAUCAGAUUAAAACCCAUGUACAUGCUCAAAUGGGUAUUCACAUGUUGGCUUGUAGGUCCGUCUGUCUGCCAGUAGACCAAAGCUUUUCCAGGUGAUAACUUCACAAUUCCUAGACCUAUUGUCAAUCUUGACAUGAAAGUUGGGCUUUUUUUUCUUCUUUUCUUUUUGGAACCAUUUCCAAUGGCCCGUUUAUUGGUUAAAAUAAUAUAUAUAUAUAAGAAAAACAACAAUAAAAACGACAACACUAUUUUACUACAAACGUUUAAGCUUUUCGAAAAAAAAAAAUAUCAUGUUAUGAUUUUUAUUAUUUUUGUGCAAGUAUAAAACAAGCGUCUCUAAAUUCGCCUUAAGAAUGUUAAUUAUGCUUAUAUUUGUACUGC